GACGAACCGUGCGAACGUUGUUCGGAUUCACUGGGCUUAAAGGGCGCGUAGGCGGCUUGCCAAGUCAGGGGUGAAAUCUUUCGGCUCAACCGGAAAAGUGCUUCUGAUACUGGCGGGCUGGAGGGAGGUAGGGGCGGAUGGAACUUCCGGUGGAGCGGUGAAAUGCGUAGAUAUCGGAAGGAACGCCGGUGGCGAAAGCGAUCCGCUGGACCUCUUCUGACGCUGAGGCGCGAAAGCCAGGGGAGCAAACGGG
rnacentral:rRNA from 1 species